AUGCUUUGGUUUGAGAGAGCAAGGUCCUUUUUGCUGCUGCCACUGCCUGCCACAGCCCCAACGUCCUCCUGGGGCCGGUCCUCCAGUUCAUCCUCCAACUCGUUUGGAAAUAGUCCUUUGCAACCCUCAUCAUCCUCAUCUUCUUCCUCUUCCUCCUCCUCCUCUUCCUCCUCCUCCUCUUCCACAUCCUCCUCCUCCUCCUCUUCCACCUCCUCGGCCGGCUCCACCUUUUCCGAGAGGCUGUCCUGGUCGUCCCCCUCUUGUUUCUCCCCCCCUGCCACCCCAGGGUCCUUCCCCUCCGAGGAUUUGGUGGGACUGGAAGCCAGCGGGCCCAGGGGGACUGAGGUAAUGGGAGUCUUCAGAGCUGAGCUGGUCAGCCCACCCAGGUUGAGGAGUGCACUGGGGGCCAGGACACCCGCUGCCGGCGGCGGCUCGGCUCCACCCCCCCCCCCCCCCCCCCCCCCCCCCCCCCCCCCCCCCCCCCCCCGGCGGCUCGGCUCCACCGGCCGCCCCGGCCUGGAGGGCCUGCUCGCCUUCCAUGCAAAUGCCACUGAAUUUACCAUAAAAACUGUGUCCAGGGCCUAUGAGGUUAGCUGCGGAAACGAGAGGGUGCUGAAAGGUUUUGUUUUUUGGUUCCAGAAAGCUGACAAGGGGUUCCUUGUCUUUGCCUAUCCCUUGGAUGAUAGCGGAGAUGUUCUUAUUGCUAAGAAUUUUCCGCUCCUCCUCACUCAGAGUCAUUCGGUGGUCGUGCACGGCAUGGGUCACGAACGAGCGGACAUACCCAAAGGAGAGCUUGCACAAGAAACACAUCAGGAUGGGCUUCCUCUUCCCAUAGAGCACAAAGCCAUCGAAUUUGGACAGGUCCACAUUGUUGGGAACAUCUUUGGAUACGCAGGAGCUUUUGGCAGAACCGUCGCUGUUCAGGUAAUCCUUGUUGCUUUUGUGUCGCACAUCGAAGACGCGGAAGCUGUGCAGGACGGGGCUGAUGCCCGCCAGGGCUGA
rnacentral:lncRNA from 1 species